UGCUCGGUGACUCGGGCUGAGUGAGCGCGCGUGUGCGUUUUGUGUGGUGUGCGUCUCCGGUGUGGCGGUAGCGGCUCGGGCACCGCCACUGCGAGUCCCACCCCGAGUUCGGUCCCCCUUUCUGGUGCCCAUCUCCCUUCUCUUCGGAAGCAGGGUCUCUGCUGGGGCCAGGAGGUGACGAACAGUGACGGGCUCUUCCCCGCCACGCCAAGGACGUCACAGCCCCGCCCAGCAACCAUUGAGCUUCAGAGCCAGCCUCGGAAGCGUCAGCCUAGAGCGACCGUAGAGAAUGAAGAGAGGCCCUUUCAGAAACGGAAGUGGAUAUGAUAUCAUCGGCGAGCCGCCAAUGAGGCGAGGGCGGGGUAGGAUGGGUGGUCCUGUACAGAGCUCGUGGGCGCUUUGCUAGCGGUAGGUUAGAUUUUCUUGGUCCGGUGGCGGAUUCAAAUAAGUGAGACGUGAGAGCGUAGCCCUGGAAACGAUGUGCUCUUCAAAAGUUAUGUAAUGGAUGAUACUCUCUUGUUUCGUUUUUGGGCCACACCAAGUGGCCUUUGGGACCUUACCCAACCAGGGAUUGAACCCAGGGCCCUCAGCACUGAAAGCAUGGCGUCCUAACCACUGGAUGGCCGAGGAAUUUCUGAGACACUCACUUUAAUCAUUUUUAAAUGGAGACAUAAACAUGAGAUAUUCA